rnacentral:rRNA from 1 species
UGUGUUAGUGGAAGCGUCUGGAAAGGCGCGCGAUACAGGGUGACAGCCCCGUACACAAAAGCGCAUGUGCUGUGAGCUCGAUGAGUAGGGCGGGACACGUGGUAUCCUGUCUGAAUAUGGGGGGACCAUCCUCCAAGGCUAAAUACUCCUGACUGACCGAUAGUGAACCAGUACCGUGAGGGAAAGGCGAAAAGAACCCCGGCGAGGGGAGUGAAAAAGAACCUGAAACCGUGUACGUACAAGCAGUGGGAGCACAGGUUUACCUGUGUGACUGCGUACCUUUUGUAUAAUGGGUCAGCGACUUAUAUUCUGUAGCAAGGUUAACCGAAUAGGGGAGCCGGAGGGAAACCGAGUCUUAAUUGGGCGUUAAGUUGCAGGGUAUAGACCCGAAACCCGGUGAUCUAGCCAUGGGCAGGUUGAAGGUUGGGUAACACUAACUGGAGGACCGAACCGACUAAUGUUGAAAAAUUAGCGGAUGACCUGUGGCUGGGGGUGAAAGGCCAAUCAAACCGGGAGAUAGCUGGUUCUCCCCGAAAGCUAUUUAGGUAGCGCCUCGUGAAUUCAUCUCCGGGGGUAGAGCACUGUUUCGGCUAGGGGGCCAUCCCGGCUUACCAACCCGAUGCAAACUGCGAAUACCGGAGAAUGUUAUCACGGGAGACACACGGCGGGUGCUAACGUCCGUCGUGAAGAGGGAAACAACCCAGACCGCCAGCUAAGGUCCCAAAGUCAUGGUUAAGUGGGAAACGAUGUGGGAAGGCCCAGACAGCCAGGAUGUUGGCUUAGAAGCAGCCAUCAUUUAAAGAAAGCGUAAUAGCUCACUGGUCGAGUCGGCCUGCGCGGAAGAUGUAACGGGGCUAAACCAUGCACCGAAGCUGCGGCAGCGAACGUAUCACUUAAAGCGAUUCAGCGGGUUACGAUUGACGGAGCGAAGCGACGUCAAAGCGUAUACAAAGUCGAGUCGGUUUAAGGAUACGUUCGUUG